UACGAAGGGGGCUAGCGUUGUUCGGAAUUACUGGGCGUAAAGCGCACGUAGGCGGAUUUGUAAGUCAGGGGUGAAAUCCCGGGGCUCAACCUCGGAACUGCCUUUGAUACUGCAAGUCUCGAGUCCGGAAGAGGUGAGUGGAAUUCCUAGUGUAGAGGUGAAAUUCGUAGAUAUUAGGAAGAACACCAGUGGCGAAGGCGGCUCACUGGUCCGGUACUGACGCUGAGGUGCGAAAGCGUGGGGAGCAAACAGGG
rnacentral:rRNA from 1 species